GGCAAUAUCAUGUUGAAACAUUCUUUCCUGUAUGAUCACCAAAGUUAAGCAAACUUAAGCCUGGUCAGUACUUAGAUGGGUGAUUGCUUAGGAAUAUGAGGUGCUGUAAG